GGAGGUUGGGGCGGAAGUUCCGGCCGGAACUUGGGCCACCUGGACUGUAGGCAGAAAAUAACAAGCUAGAUUUUGUUCCUUCUCUCUCACGUUUUGGGGUAGGGUUUUAGUGGGUGCAAUAUCUGUAGUUUUGUACGUGAAAUUGAUUCACCCGUUACUUUCCCUUGUGGAUUUUCUCUUAGUACAGAUGUCCUACGACUCAAAUCAAAUCGGAAAAACCGCUAACACCGAUACGCUUCUUAGACCUUGAGGGUCCACAUCAUUGUCUUGUGCCAACUUCUUUAUAAAAUCUGAAACACUUGACAGACGAUUAGAUAUAGAACAUGUUGUUAUCACCACCAAAACCAUUUAGGAGAGAAAUGCCCUUUCACACGUGCCAGAGCAUGUGCCUCCAUGUUCGAUGUUCUUCCUUCACGCAUGAAGCUCACUGAGGCGAAACAUGGACGUCGAUGUUUUAUCUCUUGCAGCACGAGAGCAAAGUGACCCAGAUUGCCGCUCUGUAGCGUUGUGAUGACUUCAAGGCAGUCAGACGCAGUACGACCAUGAGUGCAUGU
rnacentral:lncRNA from 1 species